GCUGCGGCUCCGCCAGACCCGGGGAGAGGCCGCUGCGCGCGGAGCCCGAGCCCGGAGCGGCCGGCGCCCGCCUCGGCGCGCACAUCCCGCGGGGCCCGGCCGGGUGGUGACUCCCACACGGGUCAUGCUGUUGUCUCCUGAUCCAGCCGGCCCUGCCAGGUGACCAUGCCUGCUCUGGGCCCAGCUCUUCUCCAGGCUCUCUGGGCCGGGUGGGUCCUCACCCUCCAGCCCCUUCCACCAACUGCUUUCACUCCCAAUGGCACGUAUCUGCAGCACCUGGCAAGGGACCCCACCUCAGGCACCCUCUACCUGGGGGCUACCAACUUCCUGUUCCAGCUGAGCCCUGGGCUGCAGCUGGAGGCCACAGUGUCCACCGGCCCUGUGCUAGACAGCAGGGACUGCCUGCCACCUGUGAUGCCUGAUGAGUGCCCCCAGGCCCAGCCUACCAACAACCCGAACCAGCUGCUCCUGGUGAGCCCAGGGGCCCUGGUGGUAUGCGGGAGCGUGCACCAGGGGGUCUGUGAACAGCGGCGCCUGGGGCAGCUCGAGCAGCUGCUGCUGCGGCCAGAGCGGCCUGGGGACACACAAUAUGUGGCUGCCAAUGAUCCUGCGGUCAGCACGGUGGGGCUGGUAGCCCAGGGCUUGGCAGGAGAGCCCCUCCUGUUUGUGGGGCGAGGAUACACCAGCAGGGGUGUGGGGGGUGGCAUUCCACCCAUCACAACCCGGGCCCUGUGGCCGCCCGACCCCCAAGCUGCCUUCUCCUAUGAGGAGACAGCCAAGCUGGCAGUGGGCCGCCUCUCCGAGUACAGCCACCACUUCGUGAGUGCCUUUGCACGUGGGGCCAGCGCCUACUUCCUGUUCCUGCGGCGGGACCUGCAGGCUCAGUCUAGAGCUUUUCGUGCCUAUGUAUCUCGAGUGUGCCUCCGGGACCAGCACUACUACUCCUAUGUGGAGUUGCCUCUGGCCUGCGAAGGUAGCCGCUACGGGCUGAUGCAGGCUGCAGCUGUGGCCACGUCCAGGGAGGUGGCGCAUGGGGAGGUGCUCUUUGCAGCUUUCUCCUCGGCUGCACCCCCCACUGUGGGCCGGCCCCCAUCGGCGGCUGCUGGGGCAUCUGGAGCCUCUGCCCUCUGUGCCUUCCCCCUGGAUGAGGUGGACCGGCUUGCUAAUCGCACGCGAGAUGCCUGCUACACCCGGGAGGGUCGUGCUGAGGAUGGGACCGAGGUGGCCUACAUCGAGUAUGAUGUCAAUUCUGACUGUGCACAGCUGCCAGUGGACACCCUGGAUGCUUAUCCCUGUGGCUCAGACCACACGCCCAGCCCCAUGGCCAGCCGGGUCCCGCUGGAAGCCACACCAAUUCUGGAGUGGCCAGGGAUUCAGCUAACAGCUGUGGCAGUCACCAUGGAAGAUGGACACACCAUCGCUUUCCUGGGUGAUAGUCAAGGGCAGCUGCACAGGGUCUACUUGGGCCCAGGGAGCGAUGGCCACCCAUACUCCACACAGAGCAUCCAGCAGGGGUCUGCAGUGAGCAGAGACCUCACCUUUGAUGGGACCUUUGAGCACCUGUAUGUCAUGACCCAGAGCACACUUCUGAAGGUUCCUGUGGCUUCCUGUGCUCAGCACCUGGACUGUGCAUCUUGCCUUGCUCACAGGGACCCAUACUGUGGGUGGUGCGUGCUCCUUGGCAGGUGCAGUCGCCGUUCUGAGUGCUCGAGGGGCCAGGGCCCAGAGCAGUGGCUAUGGAGCUUCCAGCCUGAGCUGGGCUGUCUGCAAGUGGCAGCCAUGAGUCCUGCCAACAUCAGCCGAGAGGAGACGAGGGAGGUUUUCCUAUCAGUGCCAGACCUGCCACCCCUGUGGCCAGGGGAGUCAUAUUCCUGCCACUUUGGGGAACAUCAGAGUCCUGCCCUGCUGACUGGUUCUGGUGUGAUGUGCCCCUCCCCAGACCCUAGUGAGGCCCCAGUGCUGCCGAGAGGAGCCGACUAUGUAUCCGUGAGCGUGGAGCUCAGAUUUGGCGCCGUUGUGAUCGCCAAAACUUCCCUCUCUUUCUAUGACUGUGUGGCGGUCACUGAACUCCGCCCAUCUGCGCAGUGCCAGGCCUGUGUGAGCAGCCGCUGGGAGUGUAACUGGUGUGUCUGGCAGCACCUGUGCACCCACAAGGCCUCGUGUGAUGCUGGGCCCAUGGUUGCAAGCCAUCAGAGCCCGCUUGUCUCCCCAGACCCUCCUGCAAGAGGUGGACCCAGCCCCUCCCCACCCACAGCCCCCAAAGCCCUGGCCACCCCUGCUCCUGACACCCUUCCCGUGGAGCCUGGGGCUCCCUCCACAGCCACAGCUUCGGACAUCUCACCUGGGGCUAGUCCUUCCCUGCUCAGCCCCUGGGGGCCAUGGGCAGGUUCUGGCCCCAUAUCUUCCCCUGGCUCCACAGGGUCGCCUCUCCAUGAGGAGCCCUCCCCUCCCAGCCCCCAAAAUGGACCUGGAACCGCUGUCCCUGCCCCCACUGACUUCAGACCCUCAGCCACACCUGAGGACCUCUUGGCCUCCCCGCUGUCACCCUCAGAGGUAGCAGCAGUGCCCCCUGCAGACCCUGGCCCCGAGGCUCUUCAUCCCACAGUGCCCCUGGACCUGCCCCCUGCCACUGUUCCUGCCACCACUUUCCCAGGGGCCAUGGGCUCCGUGAAGCCCGCCCUGGACUGGCUCACGAGAGAAGGCGGCGAGCUGCCCGAGGCGGACGAGUGGACGGGGGGUGACGCACCCGCCUUCUCCACUUCCACCCUCCUCUCAGGUGAUGGAGACUCAGCAGAGCUUGAGGGCCCUCCCGCCCCCCUCAUCCUCCCGUCCAGCCUCGACUACCAGUAUGACACCCCCGGGCUCUGGGAGCUGGAAGAGGCGACCUUGGGGGCAAGCUCCUGCCCCUGUGUGCAGAGCGUUCAGGGCUCCACGUUGAUGCCGGUCCAUGUGGAGCGGGAAAUCCGGCUGCUAGGCAGGAACCUGCACCUUUUCCAGGAUGGCCCAGGAGACAAUGAGUGUGUGAUGGAGCUGGAGGGCCUCGAGGUGGUGGUUGAGGCCCGGGUCGAGUGUGAGCCACCUCCAGAUACCCAGUGCCAUGUCACCUGCCAGCAGCACCAGCUCAGCUAUGAGGCUCUGCAGCCGGAGCUCCGUGUGGGGCUGUUUCUGCGUCGGGCCGGCCGUCUGCGUGUGGACAGUGCUGAGGGGCUGCAUGUGGUACUGUAUGACUGUUCCGUGGGACAUGGAGACUGCAGCCGCUGCCAAACUGCCAUGCCCCAGUAUGGCUGUGUGUGGUGUGAGGGGGAGCGUCCACGUUGUGUGACCCGGGAGGCCUGUGGUGAGGCUGAGGCUGUGGCCACCCAGUGCCCAGCGCCCCUCAUCCACUCGGUGGAGCCACUGACUGGGCCUGUAGACGGAGGCACCCGUGUCACCAUCAGGGGCUCCAACCUGGGCCAGCAUGUGCAGGAUGUGCUGGGCAUGGUCACGGUGGCUGGAGUGCCCUGUGCUGUGGAUGCCCAGGAGUACGAGGUCUCCAGCAGCCUCGUGUGCAUCACCGGGGCCAGUGGGGAGGAGGUGGCCGGCGCCACAGCGGUGGAGGUGCCGGGAAGAGGACGUGGUGUCUCAGAGCACGACUUUGCCUACCAGGAUCCGAAGGUCCAUUCCAUCUUCCCGGCCCGCGGCCCCAGAGCUGGGGGCACCCGUCUCACCCUGAAUGGCUCCAAGCUCCUGACUGGGCGGCUGGAGGACAUCCGAGUGGUGGUUGGAGACCAGCCUUGUCACUUGCUGCCGGAGCAGCAGUCAGAACAACUGCGGUGUGAGACCAGCCCACGCCCCACGCCUGCCACGCUCCCUGUGGCUGUGUGGUUUGGGGCCACGGAGCGGAGGCUUCAACAUGGACAGUUCAAGUAUACCUUGGACCCCAACAUCACCUCUGCUGGCCCCACCAAGAGCUUCCUCAGUGGAGGACGUGAGAUAUGGGUCCGUGGCCAGAAUCUGGACGUGGUACAGACGCCAAGAAUCCGGGUGACCGUGGUCUCGAGAAUGCUGCAGCCCAGCCAGGGGCUUGGACGGAGGCGUCGCGUGGUCCCGGAGACGGCAUGUUCCCUUGGACCCUCCUGCAGUAGCCAGCAAUUUGAGGAGCCGUGCCUUGUCAACUCCUCCCAGCUCAUCACGUGCCGCACACCUGCCCUCCCAGGCCUGCCUGAGGACCCCUGGGUCCGGGUGGAAUUUAUCCUUGACAACCUGGUCUUUGACUUUGCAACACUGAACCCCACACCUUUCUCCUAUGAGGCCGACCCCACCCUGCAGCCACUCAACCCUGAGGACCCCACCAUGCCAUUCCGGCACAAGCCUGGGAGUGUGUUCUCCGUGGAGGGGGAGAACCUGGACCUUGCAAUGUCCAAGGAGGAGGUGGUGGCUAUGAUAGGGGAUGGCCCCUGUGUGGUGAAGACGCUGACGCGGCACCACCUGUACUGCGAGCCCCCCGUGGAGCAGCCCCUGCCACGGCACCAUGCCCUCCGAGAGGCACCUGACUCUUUGCCUGAGUUCACGGUGCAGAUGGGGAACUUGCGCUUCUCCCUGGGUUACGUGCAGUAUGACGGCGAGAGCCCUGGGGCUUUUCCUGUGGCAGCCCAGGUGGGCUUGGGGGUGGGCACCUCUCUUCUGGCUCUGGGUGUCAUCAUCAUUGUCCUCAUGUACAGGAGGAAGAGCAAGCAGGCCCUGAGGGACUAUAAGAAGGUUCAGAUCCAGCUGGAGAAUCUGGAGAGCAGUGUGCGGGACCGCUGCAAGAAGGAAUUCACAGACCUCAUGACUGAGAUGACCGAUCUCACCAGUGACCUCCUGGGCAGCGGCAUCCCCUUCCUCGACUACAAGGUGUAUGCGGAGAGGAUCUUCUUCCCUGGGCACCGCGAGUCGCCCUUGCACCGGGACCUGGGUGUGCCUGAGAGCAGACGGCCCACUGUGGAGCAAGGGCUGGGGCAGCUCUCUAACCUGCUCAACAGCAAGCUCUUCCUCACCAAGUUCAUCCACACGCUGGAGAGCCAGCGCACCUUUUCAGCUCGGGACCGUGCCUACGUGGCAUCUCUGCUCACCGUGGCACUGCAUGGGAAGCUUGAGUAUUUCACUGACAUCCUCCGCACUCUGCUCAGUGACCUGGUUGCCCAGUAUGUGGCCAAGAACCCCAAGCUGAUGCUGCGCAGGACAGAGACUGUGGUGGAGAAGCUGCUCACCAACUGGAUGUCCAUCUGUCUGUAUACCUUCGUGAGGGACUCCGUAGGGGAGCCUCUGUACAUGCUCUUUCGAGGGAUUAAGCACCAAGUGGAUAAGGGGCCAGUGGACAGUGUGACAGGCAAGGCCAAAUACACCUUGAACGACAACCGCCUGCUCAGAGAGGAUGUGGAGUACCGUCCCCUGACCUUGAAUGCACUAUUGGCUGUGGGGCCUGGGGCAGGAGAGGCCCAGGGCGUGCCUGUGAAGGUCCUAGACUGUGACACCAUCUCCCAGGCAAAGGAGAAGAUGCUGGACCAGCUUUAUAAAGGAGUGCCUCUCACCCAGCGGCCAGACCCUCGCACCCUUGAUGUUGAGUGGCGGUCUGGGGUGGCCGGGCACCUCAUUCUUUCUGACGAGGAUGUCACUUCUGAGGUCCACGGUCUGUGGAGGCGCCUGAACACACUGCAGCAUUACAAGGUCCCAGAUGGAGCAACUGUGGCCCUCGUCCCCUGCCUCACCAAGCAUGUGCUCCGGGAAAACCAGGAUUAUGUCCCUGGAGAGCGUACCCCAAUGCUGGAGGAUGUAGAUGAGGGGGGCAUCCGGCCCUGGCACCUGGUGAAGCCAAGUGAUGAGCCGGAGCCGCCCAGGCCUCGGAGGGGCAGCCUUCGGGGCGGGGAGCGUGAGCGCGCCAAGGCCAUCCCUGAGAUCUACCUGACCCGCCUGCUGUCCAUGAAGGGCACCCUGCAGAAGUUCGUGGAUGACCUGUUCCAGGUGAUUCUCAGCACCAGCCGCCCCGUGCCGCUCGCUGUGAAGUACUUCUUUGACUUGCUGGAUGAGCAGGCCCAGCAGCAUGGCAUCUCCGACCAGGACACCAUCCACAUCUGGAAGACCAACAGCUUGCCUCUGAGGUUCUGGAUCAAUAUAAUAAAAAACCCGCAGUUUGUGUUCGACGUGCAAACAUCUGAUAACAUGGAUGCGGUGCUCCUUGUCAUUGCACAGACCUUCAUGGACGCCUGCACCCUGGCCGACCACAAGCUGGGCCGGGACUCCCCGAUCAACAAACUUCUGUAUGCACGGGACAUUCCCCGGUACAAGCGGAUGGUGGAAAGGUACUAUGCAGACAUCAGACAGACUGUCCCAGCCAGCGACCAAGAGAUGAACUCUGUCCUGGCUGAACUGUCCUGGGGAAGCCCUUGGGAACCUCAGCAGCCCUGUGAGCUGGUUGGGGCAGGAAACAUAAAUGCAGAAUGUUCCAACUGCCACUGAAAGACCAGGGCUCCCACCAUCUCAUCACAGAGCAAGCAGGGGUCUUGUCCUGGCAGCUGCCAUGUACCCUGAUUCAGCCAGGCUCUUGCAAGAACUACUCUGGAGACCUCGGGGCGCGAGUGGCCCUGCAUGAACUCUACAAGUACAUCAACAAGUACUAUGACCAGCUCCCCAGCAGGACGGCGAGGCACAGUGCUGGUGGUUGUGGGGGCCAAGGGGUCUACCAGAGCCUGGAGAUGGUGUGCAUUUGCUGAGUUGGCAGCAUGUUGGGCACGGCCAACAUGCAAGUGCAGGCCUGGCUUGGCUGCAUGAGCUGCGAAGAGGAGAGUCCAGGCACAGGGCCAGGGGUGUGAGGGUACACUGGAGCUGGUGAAGCUUUUUGGAGGAUCCCUGGGCUGUGCCUGAAGAGCUGAGCACCUGCCAGUCAACCUGCUGGAUGCCUGGUGGAAUUGUCCACUUAGAUGUUUGUGUGGCACCAGUGACAUGGCUAUUGCUGCUCAGAGAUGAGGAACCUGUCUCAUGGCCCACAGCCUUCCUGGGCAUGGUGUGGGCCAUGGCACGGGGCUUGGGGGAGGCAGGGUGUGAUGCAGGCAUGUCCCCUUGUGGAGACAUAGUGGGCAGUAGCUGUUUUCCCAAGUGCUGCUGCCCUCCGGUUCCUACCGGUUCCCUUGGUGGCAGCCCCAAAUUCGUGGUUUGUGUUUGAUCAGUGUCUGUUUUCCCACCACGUGUCUGGUCAUUCUUGGGUCUCUGCCCCUUGUCUGGCACCGGGCAGACAGGAACUUGGGAAAUGCUGUUGGCUGGCGGGUGGGUUAGCCAGGAUGGCUGCAGCAGGGCUUCUGAGGAGCUCGCUACUGAGUCAGGUCCUUCAUUUCCUACCUUAUUCAUCCUGGAACCCCGCGGUGACUUUGAUGUUAUUACCCCUCCCGCCAGCGAGGCCCUGAGGUCCCAGAAAGUACGUGAAGUGACCGGCUGGGUUUCUUGGCCUCCUAUCCCACUCAUGCCACAGCGUCUUAGGAGGACUGUUGAAUUUUGCAGCAAACACGUUGGCCAAAGAAGUCUCCCCUGAUGGCAUCGGUCUCUGUUUCAGAUCAUCACUGCCCUGGAGGAGGAUGGCACGGCCCAGAAGAUGCAGCUGGGCUAUCGGCUCCAGCAGAUUGCAGCUGCUGUGGAAAACAAGGUCACAGAUCUAUAGGGACCCAGGAGCCACGGCCUGCUGUUGCUUCAGCCUGGCCUGGGCAGCCCUGGAAACUCGGAGGGGAGGCCACCUUCUUAGGUGCCUGUAGUGACUGACAAGCAGAGUUAGUGGAAGGUGACUCCCAGUCUCCUGGUGGCUCUGGCCUCGGCCCUGCUGGAUCCACCUCCUAGACCCGGGGCCUCAAGGCUCAUGGGGUAGUACCUAGCCUGCUCCCCGAGUCCAGCGACCCUGUGACACCGGUCUGCAGGGAGUUGGGGACUAAGGGCUUCCAGAGAGUGGCUGGAAGAGCCUCCAGGCCCCUGGGGAGACUGUACUGUUCCUGAACACUGGCCUUGGCCACACUGGGAUUCGGAGAGGAAGGAGGAGAGCCCCACGCUUCCUGUCUGCCUCCUCCACCAUCCCUGACCUCAGUUGAGCUGCCUCUGGCCUUGUUGCUGCUGCCACAUCCUAGGUCUAAGAGUUGAACGCCUCUCCUAGGCCACUACAAACUGACCCCUCAGCAGGGCUGGCUGCCACAGGGCUGCCCUGCCUCAUAGGUAGCCAUGGUGAGGGCUAUCUGCUGCAGGGGGUCUUGGGGAGAGUGGUGACUCCAUUGACCCAGCUUUUCAUUAAAGGAUAACACACUGCA